UCCUACGGGAGGCAGCAGUGGGGAAUCUUGCACAAUGGGGGGAACUCUGAUGCAGCGACGUCGCGUGAACGAUGAAGGCUUUCGAGUCGUAAAGUUCUGUCCUAUGGGACGAUAAUGACGGUACCAUAGGAGGAAGCCCCGGCUAACUACGUGCCAGCAGCCGCGGUAAUA
rnacentral:rRNA from 1 species